AUGUUUGGUUUGAGGCCAGAAAACGGGUUUCUGUAUCGAAGUUGUACUGAAGACACGUGAUCCUCUGAAAGCUGGAAGACCCCAUCGAUUUUGGGGUUUUUUUCCACGUGGUUUUUAUUUUGGGGUUUGGAUCUCAAUAACUGGAUUUCAGAUGAGUUACUUUAAUUAUUUUGAUUUGUAACCAUUUAAUUUGCUGAUCUUUUUUUUUAAUCUGUAGAAUUUGAUAAUUUAGGUUGCGGUAAUUUAUUUGUAUAUUUUAUUUGUUGAAUUCAGGUAUCUACAUUAGGUUGGUUUUUUUUUAAUUUAUUAGUAUUUCCUUUUAUAAUUUCUUAUGUACACGGCUCUUGAUCGGAUAGUCAAUUGUUUAUUUUCCGCUAUGCGUACUCGACCUUACCAUUCGCAGAGCUCUACGAUUGCGUCUCGAGAUUUAUAAAUUGCAUUUUUUUUAUAUACGUUUAUAUAUAUAUUUUUUUGUUGCUACCCAUAUUUAGGUAAUUUACCCAGUGAUCAGGGGUCGUUGUUUGGUUCAGUUUGGUUAGUAUUAAUAGUUAGUUUAGUGUAAUUUUUAAAAAAGUGUUCAAUAUAUUAUGUGUUCAAUUAAAGUGUCAAAGGUGUAGUAUUAUUCCGAUUCUUUUGGCAAAUUCGGGAAUUUAGGUACACUGGAUUGGUGUUUGGGGCAUGAAUUUGUCUGGCGCCCCCUUUAACAACAAAAUAGUAAAAUUGGGAAUCCACCCCAUCUCCACUGUAUAAAAGCUAGCCCGCAACACCUGUGCUCUCACCU
rnacentral:lncRNA from 1 species